AUGAACGCUAGCGACAGGCCUAACACAUGCAAGUCAGGGGCAGCACAAGGAGCAAUCUGAGGUGGCGACCGGCGCACGGGUGAGUAACACGUAUGCAACCUGCCUGUAAGCGGGGAAUAACCCGUUGAAAGGCGGACUAAUACCGCAUAAUACUAAAUUACUGCAUGGUAAUUUAUUUAAACAUUUAUGGCUUACAGAUGGGCAUGCGCAUGAUUAGCUAGUUGGAGAGGUAACGGCUCCCCAAGGCAACGAUCAUUAGGGGUUCUGAGAGGAAGGUCCCCCACACUGGUACUGAGACACGGACCAGACUCCUACGGGAGGCAGCAGUGAGGAAUAUUGGUCAAUGGACGAGAGUCUGAACCAGCCAAGUCGCGUGCAGGAAGAAUGUCCCUAUGGAUUGUAAACUGCUUUUGCAGGGGAAUAAAGUGCAUCACGUGUGAUGUUUUGUAUGUACUCUGCGAAUAAGGAUCGGCUAACUCCGUGCCAGCCGCCGC
rnacentral:rRNA from 1 species